CCUAUAAUUCACCAACCCAUUUUACUCAUCUCUCAUCUUACACUCUAACAUUCUUACGCCUUACAGAUCCAACAGCUCAUAUUUAUCUGCAUUGAAUCCAACGGCCCCACGACGCUCGCACCCCCUCCGUCGCUCCCCCAAGAGCGCGCCCCUCCCGCACCCCCAAAUCACGCUCGCUCCCCUACCGCCCAUCGCACCCAUCCCCUCCGCGCAUCCCGGCCCUAACCGCCGCACCCAUCACUCCCCUCACCAUCGCCGGCUGUCUCCCUUUCCAACCUUGCCGGCCGCCGAUUCCCCUAACCGUCACCAUCGCGCCGCCACCGAUCUGGAGUCGCCUGGGUCAUUGUCGCCCCCAAGCCGCAUAGGCACGACCCGGCGUGGUCCUUGUCGCCAGCGUCGCCACCAAUCUCCGCCUCGUCCCCUGCCUCGCCGGUCUUCUCCGAGAACCCACGACCUCGCGUCCGCUGUCUCCUCUGUCGCUAGAUCGCUAUCCUCUUACGUACCACCCGCCUCUCCGGCUCCGGUUCGCUGCGAGUGCCGUGGCCUAUCCCCCCACUCCGCCGCAUAUCGCGUCGGCCGGGAAGAAGGGGGAGUAGUCGUGUUGCAGUUGUCGGCCCCUGGCACGAGCGCAAAUGAUUUAGUCGGCGUGCGAUGGUGGUGGUCUGACAAGUUCAGCCGACCGAUGCAUCCACUGGGAGCCCAAGCCGACACUGAAGAAGAAGCCCUCUGCCGUUGGCCGUCGGUAGUGCCGGCAUUGUCCAGCCACUUGUGGCUGCGCCGGACGUCCACACAGGGACGCUGAGCCAUCCAUACAGGAGCAGACGUGGACGCACUGACGGUGGCAGUUUGACAGGCUCAGCCUAUUUGACGCAUGGGGCUCUCAUCUCUAUGGUGUAGGCAACAAGUUUCCUCUAUGCAGUGCGCAUGAAGGGUUGUAGCUGCUGGACUAUACCAUGAUGAUAAUCUGAAGGGAAAAGAAAGAGCCAAGGGAUGUUACGUGUUUGAAUUAGAGGGAACACUCAUUGGCUUUAUCAUUUAAAAGCAUUUUGCAAGGCAUGUUCUUCUCAAUUGAUAAAAGUGAGCAGUGCAAAUAUUUUGGUUGAGUCCCUCGCGCCGCCAAGGAUCCUGUGCCAUCUGCUCCAUUGCACCGCCACCGGAACCCUCUCCACCGUGCUGCGAACAAGGAAAUCAUUGCUUGAUUCCGUUCCUUCAACCAUUACAGUUCAAAUGCAAAAUUAUGAAAUUAGUGGAUGUGAUUGUGAAUGAUAGUGUCACGUCUCUUAUGUAUGUGCAUCCCAAUAUCAAUGGCUAUUAUGCAUCUCUUCGAAAGUUACUGAAAUAGAGAGAAAUUAUAAAAUAAAAAUGAAUAUAUACUUGCUGUUUAAUUUUCCUCCCUCGCACUAUAGCAUACACUACUCAGAAAAUUGAAAAUAAAAAUGAAUGCCAAGUUAUUGUUUCACACUGAUUUUAGACUCAAUCUAUAUGUUUCUCUAACUCAAGUGAUUAUUUUCUGGAUAACCUGGGAGAAAACAAUUUAUUAUGUGAAUGUGUGUGAGAAAAUUAUUGUCUGCAUAUUUUUCUCUAAUUUAGAUAGCAGGCCUAAUCUUUUCUCAAGCUAGGAUAAGGCCUGAGUCAGGAAAUGACUGAUGAUGGGGCACCAUGAAGGAUUUGUCGCCAUGUUCUUCCUCUCCGUCCACGGCCGCAAGCUCUCCGACCAAGUCACUGGAACCCCUAUUUGUAGGGUUGUUUAAAUGAGUUGCUUCCAUGUUCUUCUUCAGUAGCAUAUAAUCAUUUCCAAGGGCAACAAUUCGAUGGCGGCAGAUUUUAAAUGAACCAACUGCAUAUAAACCCAAGUUUGCAUUGCUUUCUGUAUUGUACAUAUUUGAUAUUUGAUAGCCGCUGCAUAUAAACGCUGCAUCUGACCACCUGACAUAAAGCUAGCUGGAGAUGACCAUGAUUCAUCCGUAGCUUUGCACAUUAGUUUGCACCUAACAUUGUCUUUAGUGUGAUGCAGCUGUCAGAAUCGUCAACACCAACGGGACGAGCAUGAUGGAUGAACUCAGGAAGACCCUGGAUAGAAGAGGCCCUGGGUAAUUGCCAUCUUUGCUGCAAAUGCAUGCUUUAGAUUCUGCUUUGUUCAGAGUUCAGCGAUGUGAUGCAGUUGUCGGAAGCAUCAACACCAGCAAGAUGAGUGAUGCUAAAGUGUUUACUUUUGUUUCGUUUCCUGUUUGAAUGGCAAUUUCAAUGAAGCUUGAUUAUUUAUUCUUCUA